GUCUUUAUGAAUAAAAUAUAAAGUCUAAUCUGCCCACUGAUUAAUAAUUAAAUGGCCGCAGUAAUUUGACUGUGCAAAGGUAGCAUAAUAAUUAGUUUUUUAAUUGAAAGCUUGUAUGAAUGAUUGGACGAGAAAAUUUCUGUUUCAAAUUAAAUUUAUUAAAAUUUUAUUUUUAAGUUAAAAAUCUUAAAUUUAUAUAAAAGACGAGAAGACCCUAUAGAGUUUAAUAUUAUUAUUAUUAUUUAAUUUAUAGAAUAAUUAUUUAUAUAUAUAUAUAAUAUUUUAUUGGGGUGAUAUAAAAAAUUAAUUAACUUUUUAUUAAUUAUAACAAAUAUUUUUGAUAAAAUGAUCCUUUUAGAAAAGAUUAAAAGAUUAAAUUACCUUAGGGAUAACAGCGUUAUUUUUUUAGAUAGUACAUAUUAAUAAAAAAGAUUG
rnacentral:rRNA from 1 species